AUACAUUGAAGCCGCAGCUGGAGGAUCCACCAAGGUCAUUGAGAAACGCCACCCCGUGGACAUCAUAGGGAGAGCCCCUUGUGAGCUUGUUACUCCCGUAAGAAACAAACUCAUAGUGGUGGCUUAUGGUGUGGCUGAGCAACCGAUGCAAGGCCAAACACUACUUGAUGUGCAGAUUCAAGCUCGCUAUGCCAAAGUUGGGGUGGACCGAGUGGCUGACGGUUAGCAGGUCCUAAAAUUGGAGAUCCCUAAGGGUGACGGGGAAAAAAAUUUAGAAGAAGCUAUCCAUGGUUGGAUUCAGUGGCCCAAGCGGUUCGUAAGGAUUAUGCAGCUGAAUUCCCCAAUUUUGGGAUCAUCUCCUCAAGAUUCAAGGGCAAGAUCACCUACACCAUCUGCCAGGGCACACUCUCUAUUACCAGAUAGGUCUCCUAGCAUGAGUCCAGUACUAGAAAGGGAUCCAAGCAUGAGUCCACCUCCCCCUCCUACGAAGAAAUGUUCAUUUUCUCCUCCACCUCCACC
rnacentral:lncRNA from 1 species